GAACUAGCUCAGGGGCAGAGCAUCUGCUCUGCAUGCAUGCGGAAGGUGCCAGGUUCAAUCCCUGGCAUCUCCA